rnacentral:tRNA from 1 species
GGAGAGAUGGCCGAGUUGGUCGAUGGCGCACGCCUGGAAAGUGUGUAAGCUCCAAAAGGGCUUCAUGGGUUCGAAUCCCAUUCUCUCCGCCU